AUGACGGCGGGGGCGGGCGCUGGUGGGGGCGGCGGGCCAGGCCCUCCCCGUGCUUCUCCGCCCUUCCCGCCCCGCCCACGGCCCUCCUCCUGGCAGCCCAGCAACAAGCGGCCACCGGCCCCACCCCGGGGCGGGCAGAAGCGCAGCAACCCCGCGAUGCUCCCGGAAGACACCGCGUCUCCAACAUUUACACGGAGAUGGUGCUCGGCUCAGGUCGGGUCCGUACGCUUCCCGAGGUGCGUACUACGAGAGCCACACACAUCACUACCGAUAUUCCUGGGAAAGUCAGUGCCACAGUUCCGACCUGAAUCCGAAAGUGCUUCUAAAUCCCAUGCUUCACAGAACGUUCGGAAGGGGAGGCGCUCCGUGGGGGCUGCUGCGUGCCCAUGUAGCUGAACCGACUCGAAUAAAAGCGUGUCCACGUCUACAUCACACAUCUGUGUAAAUGCAGAAGCCUGCGGAUGCGCGGAGCUGGCCAGACUUCACAGUGUGCAGACACAUGGGCUCAUGCACGCGCGCGCGCUCACACACACUCACACCCCAAAUUACCUCCGGGAUGGAGAAAGCCGCUGCUUAUUGGCCAACAGAGCCGUCACUCAUGCCCAGGGGGCAGGGAGACUUCGCAAAGCUGUUUCCUUUUUUUUUUUUUUUCUCUGCUCUCCUCCCUACCGUUUCAUUUAAUGGUAAAACAACAGCAGAGCUCUGAAAGUUAGCCAUCUGCGCGGAGUUUGCCUUCUUUAAGGAGGGAGGCGUCAGACGAUAUCCAUUUAAAUAUAUUUUGUACUUCCACAAAGGAUAGAAAGGGAAAUUAACGAAGGGAGUGGAGGCGGAAAGGGAGCUCCGAGUAAGAAGGAGGGGUCAUCCCGCGGGGGGGGAGGGGGCGGGGGCCGAGGGCCAACGCUGGGGAAAGAGUUGUUCUCUACACCGAAAAGGGACUUUGACCUUCCAUUGAUCUCUCAAAAUUAAAAAACGUUUCUUCACAGGUCAGAUUGCAACAAACGCUCGUUCCUAAUUUACGAACUCGUCCUUUUGAUUUUAUUAUUUAAGCAUGCGCCAGCAAUCGUGUUUCCUUAAGAAAGAACUGACCUAUUUUUGGCUGGAGAUAAACGAUCAUGUUAACAGAUGUUAAUCUUGUAAUCUGUUUUUCCUGUAAGCACUUUACCUACCCGGGUUUCAGACCUUAAAAAUAACAUCUUUUCCAAAAAGACCUGACGUCACAAUUCACUCCCUGAAAAAUCACACUCCCCCUCCGGUUUCUUCCCCUGCAAUGAUUUCAAAGACAUUAAAUCUUUUCCACUUUAUAAAUGCUGAUCUGUUCUGCCUCUACUCCCACAGGCUCUUAUUUGCAUUUCAAAUUCCACAGGUUACACCAGUCGCCUUUUCAAAAAAUGUAAACCAACAAUGAAGCAGCAAAUGGCUUUUUGUGCAUCUGGAUUAAAUAAAGCACAGAAUGAAUAUAUUUGAAAAGAGGACUGCGCAAGUUGAUCUUUGCACACCCAGAGACCCAGUGACUGUUUAUCAGCGGAAUGAGUAAGACACACAGCCCCCAGAGCUCCCUGUCUGAUCCCGGUCUGCUGCGGGAAGCUUAUUAACGCUGAUAAUAGAUGGGGCUGACUUACAGACCCACAUUUUUCGGAUAAAAGGCUGGUUCCCUCUGGUCCCUAAUUGCGGGGGUCCACUGGCUCUCCUCACCGCACACAUAAACUGCUGCUUUUAAAUACCCCACUCGGCUGCAGUUUAACAAACUUAUUCAUACAAAGUUUCUUUAAAACUUGAGGCGGUUUAAUCUAAAUACUGAUCGUAACUAUUCAGUCUGUUAGUUCUCCCUGGAAAUGGCAGCGGAGGCGCCUCCCCCCACCUCCCGCCCAACCACACACACCCCACCGCAUUCUUCCUUCAUACACCCGGGUUCAUCUCGCCACCGAGGCCUCCCCCACCCGCGCCCGGCGGGGCUCAGCUCCGAGGAGUCCCUGCCCACCACUCUUCGAGUCGGUGCCAGACCCUCGCCCCCACCCCCACCCCCGCCCGAACUUCCCUUCCAGGACCUCUCACUUCUUUAACGUUAGGGUCACUUAGAAGCUCCCCGCAGACUGGCAAGCAGCCGGGGAGGGGGCCGUAAAAAACAAGGCCACCCCCCCUCCACGCAAAUACGUCCCCUAGGCAGCAGCGCGCUGUGCCCACAGGCAUCGAUCCCAUCCGCCAAACCCUUAAUAAUUGAAGCGGCUCCUCGGGCCCGCAGCCCCAUCACCCACCUUCAUUAGCCGGAGCGUUUUACUUUAAAGUAAGGCAAUUUGCUCUUUGUCUCCUAAUGGAUGGAGAGCGCAUCCGAGCUCCCCUCCUCCCGCGUCGCCUUUGACGAAGUGUACAAAGCCAGAGCCUCUUCCGCGCUCCCACCCCGGCCCCCACCCCGCCCCUCCACUGCGGUAAAAACCACCUCCCGGGCGCUCGCCCCGCCGCCCGAAGUUGCAUCUUCCCCUAUCCUGGAAUUGCAGAGCAGACCAACUACCCACAGGGAAAGCCAAGUAGCCCUCCCCGCGCCCGGGGGCCCUCC
rnacentral:lncRNA from 1 species